rnacentral:rRNA from 1 species
AUUGAACGCUGGCGGCAUGCCUUACACAUGCAAGUCGAACGGUAACAGGUCUUCGGAUGCUGACGAGUGGCGAACGGGUGAGUAAUACAUCGGAACGUGCCCGAGAGUGGGGGAUAACGAAGCGAAAGCUUUGCUAAUACCGCAUACGAUCUCAGGAUGAAAGCAGGGGACCGCAAGGCCUUGCGCUCACGGAGCGGCCGAUGGCAGAUUAGGUAGUUGGUGGGAUAAAAGCUUACCAAGCCGACGAUCUGUAGCUGGUCUGAGAGGACGACCAGCCCCACUGGGACUGCGACACGGCCCAGACUCCUACGGGAGGCAGCAGUGGGGAAUUUUGGACAAUGGGCGCAAGCCUGAUCCAGCCAUGCCGCGUGCAGGAUGAAGGCCUUCGGGUUGUAAACUGCUUUUGUACGGAACGAAAAGACUCUGGUUAAUACCUGGGGUCCAUGACGGUACCGUAAGAAUAAGCACCGGCUAACUACGUGCCAGCCGCCGCCGUAAAAC